GACGAACGAUGGCGGCGUGCUUAACACAUGCAAGUCGUACGGUAAGGCCCUUUCGGGGGUACACGAGUGGCGAACGGGUGAGUAACACGUGAGUAACCUGCCCACAACUUUGGGAUAACGCUAGGAAACUGGUGCUAAUACUGGAUAUGUGCUCCUGCUGCAUGGUGGGGGUUGGAAAGCUCCGGCGGUUGUGGAUGGACUCGCGGCCUAUCAGCUUGUUGGUGGGGUAGUGGCCUACCAAGGCGGCGACGGGUAGCCGGCCUGAGAGGGUGACCGGCCACAUUGGGACUGAGAUACGGCCCAGACUCCUACGGGAGGCAGCAGUGGGGAAUAUUGCACAAUGGGCGCAAGCCUGAUGCAGCAACGCCGCGUGCGGGAUGACGGCCUUCGGGUUGUAAACCGCUUUCAGCAGGGACGAAGCUUUUUGUGACGGUACCUGCAGAAGAAGCACCGGCUAACUACGUG
rnacentral:rRNA from 1 species